rnacentral:lncRNA from 1 species
CGGGCUUAAUAAACAAUAAUAUACUAGUAUUAAAAAAUAGGCGGUAUUUGUUUUAACACCUAGGGUAUUUUCUAUUUCAUUUGGAACAAAGUGUUUGAUUUGUGCAAAACAUGGAAUUUCUUUAGCGCCAAUAAUAUUGGUAAACUAUAUAAAUAAAAGGUAUGAUUUCAAAUGAGACUUUUGAUAAUAAAAAUAAAACACAGUAUACAUCUGCUCAAUUUUCG